GUACUGUAGGUUAGACUUCCUGAACAGAGGGAUAAAUGAUCCAUGUACUGUAGGUUAGACUUCCUGAACAGAGGGAUACAUGAUCCAUGUACUGUAGGUUAGACUUCCUGAACAGAGGGAUAAAUGAUCCAUGUACUGUAGGUUAGACUUCCUGAACAGAGGGAUACAUGAUCCAUGUACUGUAGGUUAGACUUCCUGAACAGAGUGAUACAUGAUCCAUGUACUGUAGGUUAGACUUCCUGAACAGAGUGAUACAUGAUCCAUGUACUGUAGGUUAGACUUCCUGAACAGAGUGAUACAUGAUCCAUGUACUGUAGGUUAGACUUCCUGAACAGAGGGAUACAUGAUCCAUGUACUGUAGGUUAGACUUCCUGAACAGAGGGAUAAAUGAUCCAUGUACUGUAGGUUAGACUUCCUGAACAGAGUGAUACAUGAUCCAUGUACUGUAGGUUAGACUUCCUGAACAGAGUGAUACAUGAUCCAUGUACUGUAGGUUAGACUUCCUGAACAGAGUGAUACAUGAUCCAUGUACUGUAGGUUAGACUUCCUGAACAGAGUGAUAAAUGAUCCAUGUACUGUAGGUUAGACUUCCUGAACAGAGUGAUACAUGAUCCAUGUACUGUAGGUUAGACUUCCUGAACAGAGGGAUAAAUGAUCCAUGUACUGUAGGUUAGACUUCCUGAACAGAGUGAUACAUGAUCCAUGUACUGUAGGUUAGACUUCCUGAACAGAGGGAUAAAUGAUCCAUGUACUGUAGGUUAGACUUCCUGAACAGAGGGAUAAAUGAUCCAUGUACUGUAGGUUAGACUUCCUGAACAGAGGGAUAAAUGAU